CGUACAAUGUUGUGUACCCAGUAUAGUUUGAAUUGAAUUGGCCAUUGUGUAUGUUCUAGUUGUUGAUUGGUGUGUGGAUUUUGGCUUUUUACGUUGUAUAAAAAACAUAAUUCUGUGCUAUAGAUGUACAUCUGAAAGCAUUAUUACGGAACAACAAUAAGCCAAAGUGUAAACCAUGCCAAACAAAAGCAUCGAAGAUCAGAUCCAAGAGUUCCAUGAUGAUAUGUUGGCCAAAAUUUCUUUAGAAAUUACUGAUGGUAAAGUUCGGGAAUUAAAGAAACGUCUUAGAGCCGCAGAAUAUGGUGGCUUCGGGGCGAGGGAAAUUGAACAAAUGGAAGAUGCUGUGGAUAUAUUUACUGAACAACAGAAACGAAAAAUUUUUUCUGUUGGUAACUAUGGUAAACUUAAAGACAUAUUGGAAAAAGUAAAGCUCAUGGAUCUCGUAGAUGAAGUCAGAAAAUGCGAAGAUAAAUUGAAAAAUAUAGGCCAUGCAGUUAUGUUUAGAGCAGAAUCUGUGGAUGGGGAUGAUUCACAUGUUAACGCACCCUCUUCGUCUGCAAUACCCAUUUCACCUGAGCCCUCAACUGGUAUCUUCUUCCAUCCAACCUCACCUGGCAUUUCUGCUUUCAAACAGCCAGAAUUUUGUUAUCCCCGUGGUAAGGGAUAUGUCCUUUAUGUCUCCAACUUUUUUCAUGUGCCUGACAAAAAUGGAUGCUCUCGACCUGGUGUAAGAGUGGACAAAAGCAAUCUUUCCCAAUUCUUUUGGGAGAAGGGGUUUGAGCUGGAAUUCUGCCCUGACAUACAGACACCUGAAAAAUUGUUGAAACUCAUUGAUGAAGUGAAAUUUAAGACCGAACACGCAUACAGCAGUUUCUUUUUUAUCAUCUCAAGCCAUGGCAAAGGGAUAACGUUAAAAGACAAGAAUGGGCAGGAUGUGUUAGACAAGAAAACCCAAAAGCCGGUUGUCAUUUCGGAAGGCAUUCAGUUGGUAGCAAACGACUCUUAUGUUCGAGUUGAUGAAAUAGUGUCCAAGUUUGAAAAUUUUAUGAUUGGUAAGCCCAAGGUACUAAUAUUCCAGGCCUGUAGGAGUUUAACAGAGAGUGCAGAUGACAGCAGCAGCGUGGUCAGUUUUUAUGAUGCACAAAAUCCUGGUUCUCUCACAAUCCCAGGGAAUGCAGACAUGGUGGUUAUACAUGACACUAGUAGAGGUGCCAAAGGCUGGCGUAACGAAGAUCAGGGUGCCUGGCUGUUCCAUUACAUGUGUGUGGAGCUGAAGACUACAUUUGACACGGAGCAUCUACUGGAUGUCCUGACUAGAGUGAACUACUAUAUAUCGAAGCGUAAUGCGCACAAUCAACAAGGCCACGUGGUCGGUAAACAGAUGCCUUGUUUUACCUCAACUUUAACUAAGUUUUUUUACUUGAAGUAAUAACAACUGUUGCUGUUUCUUGUUUCACCAUAGUGGAGAGUGGAGUUAGUUGGAACAAAAUUGGGGUUAGUUGAAACAUGGCAUGAUGUUGGUUGAAACAUAGUGUUGGGUUAGUAAAGCCUUUACAUUGCAAACUUUUAAAACUAACUCGAUUACACAUUUAUAUUGAACAUAACAAUGCUGCAUUAGUAAAAUACUUUACAGUACAGUACUUAUUUAGGAUUAACACAAAUGUGGGGUUUCUUUGGAAAUGUGCGACUCUGAACUAUAGUACAAAUCAAAUUUCAAAUUAUACAGUGUAUAUAUUAUUGUAUCAAUUUAAAAUGUUUUCUACAGAUGUUGGUGGGUCUAUCCAUGGUUUGCAUUUCACUUGUAAUUUUGAGGCUUUCUGAUAUAAUGUAAUAAUAAUAAUCUUUAUCUGAAUUUACACUUUUAAAACAGUGGUACAAGGAAAUGGUGCAUUCACAAACAUUGAACAUUUACAAAUACAAUAUAUGAAACAAAACAGAAAAGUGACAAACAUAACCAAAGACAUAAAAUACUAAAACAUUGUAUAAAAAAAUGACUUCAAAUUAGAAUGUUCGAAAUAUUAAAGAAAUAAAAUUGAAUGUAAAAGGAUUUAAUUCAAUUCAAACUUGAGUUUAAAAACUGGCAGUUUAAAUUGAUAACAUAAAGCAAAUAUCGUACAAAAAAAAAUGGAAUAAGCAUCAUGAUUUUCAAUUUGUUUUUUCUUUGUAAAAAUUGUAGGCCUACAAACUAUCAAUUACUUUACAGAUGAACAAUAGCUAUUAUUUCAAUUCAAAUUCAAAAUAACAUUUAGUAUAUUCAUGUUUCAGCAGGGGAAAAUAUAGAAAAUAAAAUCACUGCCAUUUAUACCAUAAAGUAUUAUUGUAUUGGGGUUAGUUGGAACAUGUUCUUAUACCAUAAAGAAAUAUAUUGGGUUAGACGCAUUAACACAUGUGGUGCCUUUAAGCAUACUUCACUAAACAGAGCAUUCAAUAAUACAGUAUAUAGUUAGCCUUAUUUUGUAGCUUUUUACUGUAGCCUAAAAUGCUCAUAAAAUAUUCAAUCUAAUCUAUGAACAUUCAGAUAAUUGCACAAUUUUUCAAUUACAAAAAAAUUUACUUGAAAGUAACAAAGCACAUAUAUAGCUGUCAAAAUUAAUUUUGUGUAGCAUCUGUCCUGUAGUGUCCCAAAAUGUUAAUGUUUCAACAAACCCCGCAUUCCAACUAAACCCAUUCUCCCCUACCUUUCAUCUUAAUAUUUGCAAAAUGGCAGUUAAAAUUGGAAUUAUGUUAUGGUUUAAUGAGAGUGUUGAUGAUGGAAAUUCUCCUGUACAUUUUUAAAAAUUAUAAUUCUCAAUGUAUUAUAUAUUUUUGCUUAGAAUUUCUAUUUUCUCAAUUCUAAAUGUAAAAGAUCUAUUUCAUCCAUUUUAUUUAUGAUUAACUGUGUUUACUUACUGCUAUGCAAUUUUGAUAAAGUUUAAUGUCUUUAUUAACAUUCAGUGAAAAGCAAAUUAUCAAUCUGAAAUUAAUUGUAUGUUGCAACAACUUCUAUCUUAUAACAAAGAUACUAGAAAUACAAGAUAGAGCACUUGCAUAGCAAAGAUGAGGCGGAAAUUGGGCCAGAUGUAGGCAGCACUCUUCCCUUUUUAUAAUGCAGGUUUUCUAUACUUGGGCCCGGUGUACAGGGCGCCCUUCUGUUUCUAAGUAUAUCCAGACGCACACGGGCCCUUCUUUUUCCAUUAAUGGAAGAAAACUUUAUCACUAAUCAGAGUCCGGUCAUAUGAUUCUGCUCUUUUGUGUCUGUCAUUUUAUUAUUUGAUUUAUUUAUGCCUACUUGUAUGUAUAUUACGCAAAAGGAGAUUAUGUAUCCACAUACUUAUAAGGACAAAAUUUGGGUAUGAUGAUGUAGUUUGUGGAGAGAAAAUUUCAAAACUGCUGAGGUUGAUAUGGUUAUUAUUAUUAUUAUUGGUUUUUAUUAUUAUUGUUGUUAUUAUUAUUAUUAUUGGUUUUUAUUGUUAUUAUUAUUAUGGGUUUUUAUUAUUGUUGUUUUUAUAUUAUUUCAAUGUGAGUUUGCCUAGGAGAAUGUCAUAGGAGUGAUGUUUUACCCUACCUGACGUGUUAUUGUAAUGUAUACUCAGUAAAUUCCCAAAUGCUUGGCUGCGCUUAGUAACUAGUGUUAAAUUCCAUUUCCAACAGUACUGCAAAUGCUAUUUCGGUACAAAUAUUUUCGUGGGCACUUACUAUUGAAAUAAUAAUUGAAUCUGUUUUUGAUAAAUUACUUUGCAAUGUUGAUUUAAUCAUGUCAUUGAAACAUUUAUGUUAUGUGAAAAAAUCAGAAGAAAACAAAAGAAAGAGUAGUUGUUUAAAUUGUGAUGCUUAAAAAGCGGAAUUUGUGCAUUUUAAAAUUUUAAAAUAAAUUUGUUUCUUAAUUAAUGAUCCACUGUAAAACAGUAAUUGGAGUAGGUUUGUAUUCUAAUUUUUUGGUGAAUUGUUGGGAAAUUAGUAUAAAUAUUGAAAAUUUACAUUAGUUAGUCAAAGUAUAGAGGGUGCUUUCUUAGUUUUACAUUCCAUUUUGUAUUGCAGCUGAUAUUCUGAUUGAUGUGGUUACUAUUUAUUGAAAUUGUUGCUUUUUAGAUGUAUAUAUGGUAGUACAUGUUAGCCAGCAUGUUUAAACAAUGGAGAGUUUGAUAACAAAGAUUAGUCAAUGACACAUAACCUAAAAAAUAUGAUGGCGCCACAGGCACAGGCUAUUUGGACCUAAUAGUUCAUGAUGCCAAAAUCAUGAAAUGAUUUGCACAUGUCCCUCCUGUUCAUUUUAAUGUUCUCUAUUCUGAAAUAUGUAUACAUAUGAGCAUAUUAUUUUUCCUGCAAUUAUACUGCAAUGCUAAAUUAAAUAAAUUUGCUAUUAAAUGAUGUCAUUAAAAUAUAUUACUAAAGUUGCCAAAAUCACAAGAUAAUAAAAAAUGCUUGUGUUAUAUAUAGUGAAUUAGGACGCUUAAAAUGUAAUGCCUUCGAACGUUUGAAAGUUUCUAUUCUGUGUAAAUGCAUUGUCGUCUAAUAAGCCACCAUGGUGGUUGUUUAAAUGCCUUUUAAAUGAUUUAUAAUAUGGAUUUCCCCAUUUUCAUCUUGUUAAUUGUUGUAUUGUUUAAAUUAAUAUUAAUUAUUAGUAUUUAGAAUUAUUAGGUGAUCUACUGUAUAAGUAUUAUGAAUUUUCACUUGUUUUUACAUUCCAUUCUAUAUCGUAGCUUGGAUAAUCUGCAUAUGACUGAAAUAAUAUUACUGCCCUGUUGAUGAUUGGGUUGGGGAAGGGUGCUGAUAGAGAGAGGUGGUUCUCACAUGUGCUUUGAAGGGAGUACCAUAGAACAAUAAGGCAGGAAGACUCGCUGAGUUACUCCGUAGGUAAUACCCUUUAAAGAAACUUUCCUUUUUUUUUUUUUUUUUUUCAAAAUCUUUAUGUAUAUUCGAAAUGGCUUUUUGAAUGUCGAAUUUUUUGUUGCCCUUUUAAUAAUUCCUAGAUGAGCAGCAAGCCAGAUUGUCCACAACCCUCCAUAAAUUCAGUCAGGCCAAUAAAUGAAAUCAAUCAAUUCAAUGAACUUUGUAAAACUAUAGACCAUUUUCGCAAAAUUUGAAAUGAAAAUUUCUGAUAACCUGGCAACUGCCACUGACUGGGGAUUUCCAGAGGCUACGCAUUUCAUGCUACGUAGUUACUAGUGUGUGUGUGUGGCGCUCUAUUUGACCACUGAUCUUUACUGUAAUAGCUGGACUGCUCAUUGCCUGGUUUUAGUGAGGCCACCGACGCCAUGUAGGAGGGCCUAUGUGACGUAUCAGUUUCUUUUGGCGUUGGUUUAAAUUAUUGUUAAAAAUAACGAUUUUUGCAAUACUUAAUAAUAAAUUUAACAUAGUGAUUAUUUUUCAAAACAUCUAACCACUUGACGUGACUGUAGAUGCAGUUUAAAGACUGCGAAGCGAAAUUAUUAUGUUGUUAGUAAUCAACGUCACUAUAACAAUGCGACUUCGCUCGUGCUUUUGUAAACUGCAUAAACAGUCGCAUCAAGUGGUUAGAUGAUUUGAAAAAAUCCUUACUUAAAUUUAAAUUUAUUAUUGAAAAAGUAUUGCAAGAAUCAUAAUUUUUAACAGUAGUUCAAAGAAAUACUGUACCAAAAGAAACUUGUGUAAACUUGUAGGCCCUCCAACAUGGCGUCCGUGGCCUUACUCUUUUCUGUGCAAGGAUUGGCCGAUGAGCAAUCCAGCUAUUAUAGUAGAGAUCAGUGUAUUUUAAACUAGCUAGUUGCUCAGGUUAAGCUAGGCUGCUAGUUGCUCAGGCUAAACUAGGCUGCUGGAAGUUUCCCAGUGAGUUGCGAAACGUUAGUGGCGCUGUUUCAAAACAAACCCGAUAAAAUGGUCUAUAAUAGUGCAGGCCUGGGCAAACAGCCUUGGUUUAUUAUUAUUCAGUUAAUUACUUGGGUUUUUUGGCAUGGUUCAUGUUGUAAUAAUGGGUUAUAGAUUGUAAUAGUCCUAAUUAGGCCUAUAUGUAUAUAAUUAUACAGAUAAAUGUUUAUCCAAUAACGGUAUGAUUCAUGUUCAGUAUAUGCAGUUAUGAAAUAAUUGUAACAUUUAGUAUUCGUAUGCCCUUUGUAUCUUUUCUGUUAUCCAUAUUAAAUUUGUUUGUAUUCAGCUCAUCUGUUACAUUUCAUUUUAAAAAUGAGCUUCAAAAUUGUAUUAUGCUGUGUAUUAUUUAAGCUGAAGCUUUAAACCUUAAGUCAAACCAAUCCAAAGUUUUACCAGGCUAGUAUUUUAAGUAAGAACAAUUAUGAUAUUUUUAUGAUGUUAACUCUCCAUUUUAUGAUGAUUAUAUUUUGAUCACUAUUGUAUGUCAAUUUGCCUGAAUGAAACCUAAAGAUAAAAAAAAAUUAUUAUUGAGUUAUAUUAAUUGGUUUUAAGGGAUAAUUUCAAUAUUUUCAUCACUUAUGUCACUUCUUUUAGAGUGAAACCUAUUGGUUGCUAACCAUUUUUAUCUGAAAUGUAAAUUGUGGUUGAAAGUAUAAACGAUAUGCAGUACCUGUACAGUAAAUUAUUAGUGAAGAAAGUGUGCAUCAACUAA
rnacentral:misc_RNA from 1 species